rnacentral:tRNA from 1 species
GGUGGCUCAGUGGUAGAGUGCUUGCUUUGCACGCAUGAGGCCAUGGGUUCGAUUCCUCAGCACCA